rnacentral:lncRNA from 11 species
GAGCAAUCCAAGCUACCGAGGUCAUCACAGCAUGGGAACUCUCAUCCAGCUCCUAUGCCUCAACUCAUUUACAUUUGCAUGGAUAACUGCACCCAUAAUCUCAGAGUCACCCAAAGAACUUCAGCUACUCCUUUGAUGACUCGCCCAGGGAGAAAGGCCACCCUUCAUUGUGAUCUGGCUGUGGGACCGCCUGUCGUGCUGGGAAUAAGGUCCAGGACAACUUUGAAGCAUCCAGAACACACAGACUUACGGCCCACAUGAUGUAUCUUCCGAAACCCUAUUGUUAUUCCUCCGUGCGCGCCCCAUCACCCUUUUACUCUCUGUAAUUUCAUUUUGUUGUUGUUGUUUUUCCUUGUUGUUUGUUAUCUUUAAAUGUUCAAAAUAAAAAAAUAAAA